AUUGAACGCUGGCGGAAUGCUUUACACAUGCAAGUCGAACGGCAGCACGGGGCAACCUGGUGGCGAGUGGCGAACGGGUGAGUAAUACAUCGGAACGUGCCCAAUCGUGGGGGAUAACGUAGCGAAAGUUACGCUAAUACCGCAUACGAUCUACGGAUGAAAGCGGGGGAUCGCAAGACCUCGCGCGAAUGGAGCGGCCGAUGUCAGAUUAGGUAGUUGGUGGGGUAAAGGCUCACCAAGCCAACGAUCUGUAGCUGGUCUGAGAGGACGACCAGCCACACUGGAACUGAGACACGGUCCAGACUCCUACGGGAGGCAGCAGUGGGGGAAUUUUUGGACAAUGGGCGCAAGCCUGAUCCAGCCAUUCCGCGUGCAGGAUGAAGGCCUUCGGGUUGUAACU
rnacentral:rRNA from 1 species